AUUGAACGCUGGCGGCAGGCCUAACACAUGCAAGUCGAACGGUAACAGGAAGAAGCUUGCUUCUUUGCUGACGAGUGGCGGACGGGUGAGUAAUGUCUGGGAAACUGCCUGAUGGAGGGGGAUAACUACUGGAAACGGUAGCUAAUACCGCAUAAUGUCGCAAGACCAAAGAGGGGGACCUUCGGGCCUCUUGCCAUCGGAUGUGCCCAGAUGGGAUUAGCUAGUAGGUGGGGUAACGGCUCACCUAGACGACGAUCCCUAGCUGGUCUGAGAGGAUGACCAGCCACACUGGAACUGAGACACGGUCCAGACUCCUACGGGAGGCAGCAGUGGGGAAUAUUGCACAAUGGGCGCAAGCCUGAUGCAGCUAUGCCGCGUGUAUGAAGAAGGCCUUCGGGUUGUAAAGUACUUUCAGCGGGGAGGAAGGGAGUAAAGUUAAUACCUUUGCUCAUUGACGUUACCCGCAGAAGAAGCACCGGCUAACUCCGUG
rnacentral:rRNA from 1 species